AUUUAGCCCUCGAUGCAGGUUUAGUCACGUGCAGGUUCAGCCCUCCUGUUUCCAGCAGUAUCAGAUCCCAUGAUAGAUAUGCUUCCAUAAAGAUUUCCGCUGGUGGUCUGGGAGAAGUUGGCAGAAAUGAAGGCCAAACAUCUAAGCCAGUGGCUCUUUUGUGGUAUAAAAGCCUUCCAGAUCUCACCAUCAGAGAAGAUGAAGAGGAGGAUGAAGAUGUCACAGAAACGAAAGCUGACCCUGAAAAUGAACUGCAGGAGGAGGAAGAAAGCAAGGACACAAAGGAAGGCCACCCGCGGGAGCUGACGGAGGAAGAGUAACAGCAGGUUUUGCACUCGGAGAAGUUCCUCAUCUUAUUCGCCUGCAGUAUUUGUGGGAUGGAAAGAGCUUUAGCUGAGGACUCCAACAUCUUCUUCAACUACAGCGGACAAGUCCCGGAGGAUAAAGGGAGACCUGCAGGGUGGCUCCAGUCUCUCUCAAUUGUCUGUUCUAUGAUGAGCACUGGUCAAAGCAUCGAGUCAUCACCUGUCUGGACUGGUCCCCUCAGUACCCUGAGCUCUUUGUGGCCUCCUACAACAACAACGAAGACACUCCUUAGAGCCAGACGGUGUGGCUUUGGUGUGGAAUAUGAAAUGGAAGAAGACCACACCAGAGUACAUCUUCCAAUGCCAGUAAAGCUGGAAUCUGUGAGAUGUUGGAGGGCCAUCAGGGGCCAGUGA
ensembl:lncRNA